rnacentral:rRNA from 1 species
CGGAGGGUGCAAGCAUUGAUCGGAAUUACUGGGCGUAAAGGGCGCGUAGGCGGCUUUUCAAGUUAGAUGUGAAAUUCCGGGGCUCAACCCCGGAGCUGCAUUUGAAACUAAAGAGCUAGUGGCUAGUAAGGGAAAACAGAAUUCCACGUGUAGCGGUGAAAUGCGUAGAUAUGUGGAAGAAUACCGGUGGUGAAGACGGUUUUCUGUGCUAAGCCAGACGCUGAGGCGCGAAAGCUAGGGGAGCAAACAGGAUUAGAUACCCUGGUAGUCCUAGCCGUAAACGAUGUAUACUGGAUGUAGGAAGGCUCAACCCUUUCUGUAUCGGAGCUAACGCGUUAAGUAUACCGCCUGGGGAGUACGCUCGCAAGGGUG